rnacentral:lncRNA from 13 species
AACCUAACAAUAAUUUGUUUUGUAAUGUAAAAAUUAAAUGUAAACUUAAGAUCGAUAUACGUAGUAUCGAUCUUGGCGCGUGAAGUCGAUCGCGACGGAAACGAAGCCGCUUCUCGCUCUUUUCACUUGCGGAACGCGGCGGAUGCGGGCGGAUUGGAGCGGGCGGCGUUACAAAUUUGUAUUUAACAGGUAAACGAAACCAUCGUCAAUCUCGCAUUAGUGUACACCAGUGUACACUGUCGAUACAUAUUGCGAGUAACGCGCGCGGAUAUGCCUACAAUAUUACUUACGCCUAUUCUAAUCGAAAUCAUAAGCGCGAUUGCGACGCGUAAAGUUACUUGUCCGGGAACGAAGCCGGCUUGUCAUUUUUGUUCUAUUGCAAAUCGCAGCGAACGCGAUGCAGAUCGAAGCGGGAGCAAAUGGUGUCGCAAACUCGUUAAUAGGUAAAUCUAUAUCAAUCUCACGAUAAAAUUUAAGUUUGCUGCUCAACAAUAUGUUGCGGAAAACGUAUAAACGUUGGGUUAGUGCGGGACAGGUAGCGUCGCCCAGCGUCGCCGGAGGUGGCGCGCGGACGCGGCGUCGGUUUUGUCGCGUGAAGUUAACCGCGCAAAGACAAAGCCGCUUCUCGCCGUCUUCUCAGUUACAUUCACGUUUCUUUUACAGAACGCAAUGGACGCGAGACGGACUGGCUCCGGAACGGAGGCGUCAUUGCGGCUCGUUUUUAAUAAGUGAGCAAAAUUAUUCGCAUUAAUAACUAUUGUUAAGUUAAUUAUCGCGUAACGUAGAUUCGAUGCACGUAAAUUGCACGACCGCGGCGCGAAUGCGGCGUCGAUUCGACGAGUUUGAUCGACGCGUAAAGUUUACCGCGCGCGAAAACGAAGCCGGGUUGCCAUCUUGACUCGCAUUCAUGUCUGAUUAGAAAAUACGGCGGAUGCGACGUAGAUCGAAGCGGGAGCGAGAACGCGUAUUUCGAGCAGAGAUCAAAACGUAUACGCUCAUGACGUGUCAUGUUGAUCGCGCGCGCAAGAUGAAGUCGCUUUGCCAUUGUAAUUGCAUUUAUGUUAAUUUACAGAAAGCCGUGAACACUCUUACAAAACGCGGAAUGGAGUGGGUCCGAAAUGAGUGGCAUCGCGACUUCAAUUGAAUGCGGCAGAUGCGAGACAGACGUGCUCCAGAACAACGCAACUUAUUUUCACAAUUUGUGAAAAGAAGAAAGAAGAGAGAAGAAGUUGGACAAUUACUCAAAAUAAGAGGCCUAGGAGAAGUAUCGGUGGAGCAACUUAGCGAAUCAUCGUAGCCACGUUGCUGACAACUCCACUAUUGCGCAUCGGAAUGCGCAGACGGCGGAAUACGACGACGCGCAGGCGGCGACGGGAGAGAGGAUCGUGGACGCGCGUACCGAGCGUUGUUCCUCUGAUGUUCGUGAAAGCGCCCUUUCUUCGUGGCGCACGGUGCGCGCGAUCGUGCGAUGACUCGCACGAUAGUGAGAACUCUCUCGGAGUGGAAGAGGCAGAGCGGAGCGGACGGCGCGGCGGCUAGGCCCUCCGUGAAGAGGAGGAUAGAGAACGCUUUCAUUUGGCGUGCAUGCACGCGCAGAUACGCGCAGAAGGGAGAGGUGAUCAUCACUGCUCUCGUGGAAUGCGAGCGUCAGGAGGAGAGAUAGGAGAUUACGUCAGGCUCCGGCUCCAUUUAAAUGCCCGGCAUUGCUGAAAUUGGUCCGCGGUGACCCCUGACUUUGGGACUUGUCUCGUUUCUUUGUCCGGGCCGCGGACAUCCCCCUCGCUUAUAUAUCGGACGCGCGAGUAUAUCCCUCGACACUGGGGGACGGUCACGGACGACGGUGACGAGAAGACGAGGGGAAGGAGAAAAAAAGAUCUCGAAGAAAACCGGCCGAGGACAGAAAGGAAGAAAGAGAAACGCCGCUGGUUAUCGUCGGUCAAUCUGGAGUCUCACGCGCGAAGCCGAGCACUGACGACGACUCUCCGAAAACGAGAAAUGUUCCAAUUAACGAGAUUUUCGCGCGCGCG